AGGGCACGCAGGCGGUGACUUAAGUGAGGUGUGAAAGCCCCGGGCUUAACCUGGGAAUUGCAUUUCAUACUGGGUCGCUAGAGUACUUUAGGGAGGGGUAGAAUUCCACGUGUAGCGGUGAAAUGCGUAGAGAUGUGGAGGAAUACCGAAGGCGAAGGCAGCCCCUUGGGAAUGUACUGACGCUCAUGUGCGAAAGCGUGGGGAGCAAACAGGAUUAGAUACCCUGGUAGUCCACGCUGUAAACGAUGAGUGCUAGGUGUUAGACCCUUUCCGGGGUUUAGUGCCGCAGCUAACGCAUUAAGCACUCCGCCUGGGGAGUACGACCGCAAGGUUGAAACUCAAAGGAAUUGACGGGGGCCCGCACAAGCGGUGGAGCAUGUGGUUUAAUUCGAUGCAACGCGAAGAACCUUACCUACUCUUGACAUCCAGAGAACAUUCCAGAGAUGGAUUGGUGCCUUCGGGAACUCUGAGACAGGUGCUGCAUGGCUGUCGUCAGCUCGUGUCGUGAGAAG
rnacentral:rRNA from 1 species